CGGACGGGUGAGUAACACGUGGGCAACCUGCCUGUAAGACUGGGAUAACUUCGGGAAACCGAAGCUAAUACCGGAUAGGAUCUUCUCCUUCAUGGGAGAUGAUUGAAAGAUGGUUUCGGCUAUCACUUACAGAUGGGCCCGCGGUGCAUUAGCUAGUUGGUGAGGUAACGGCUCACCAAGGCAACGAUGCAUAGCCGACCUGAGAGGGUGAUCGGCCACACUGGGACUGAGACACGGCCCAGACUCCUACGGGAGGCAGCAGUAGGGAAUCUUCCGCAAUGGACGAAAGUCUGACGGAGCAACGCCGCGUGAGUGAUGAAGGCUUUCGGGUCGUAAAACUCUGUUGUUAGGGAAGAACAAGUACAAGAGUAACUGCUUG
rnacentral:rRNA from 1 species